GUAACACGUAUCCAACCUGCCGAUAACUCGGGGAGUAGCCUUUCGAAAGAAAGAUUAAUACCCGAUGGCAUAAUAGAACCGCAUGGUUUGAUUAUUAAAGAAUUUCGGUUAUCGAUGGGGAUGCGUUCCAUUAGGCAGUUGGUGGGGUAACGGCCCACCAAACCUUCGAUGGAUAGGGGUUCUGAGAGGAAGGUCCCCCCACAUUGGAACUGAGACACGGUCCAAACUCCUACGGGAGGCAGCAUG
rnacentral:rRNA from 1 species